rnacentral:pre_miRNA from 2 species
UGUAAUACUGACCAAGUAUUACAGUUCUGUACCUCAGCUUUGCUCCCAACCAACCACUUCCACAUGUUUUGCUGGUAGAGCUGAGGACAGCUCUGCCAAGACAUCAAA